CGUUCUAAGGCCAAAUUGGUAGAGGCAUCGCCAAUCACAGGCGAGAAUGAGGGUUCGAGUCCCGCUGUAACGG
rfam:Operophtera brumata OBRT01_Sc01455, whole genome shotgun sequence.